CGCCGCGCCGCGCCUGGGCUGCGGGAGGCCGACGCGAGAGCCCUGGGGCAGAGGCGCGCAGAGAGGGGAAGACGGAGACGCGGCAGGACGGCCCGCAGACGCAGGAACACAGGCGCGCUCCGAGAUCCAGUCCUCAGAUGCGAGCGCGGGUGCGCCCCCCGCCCUCCCGCCCGGAGUCGCGCCCAGGGUUGCGACGCAGCUACACAGGGGCGCCCGGGAAAGCAGCAGGGCCGUGUUACACAACCACCUCAGACACGCACGUGGGUUCGCACACACAGGCGAGACUCCCAGGACCCAGACACAGCUCAGAGUCACGCACAGAGGUGAUGCUGAGACACCAGGCGCUCACACCCGGGAGCCUGGCCCUCAGGAGACACACAGCUUCCGACCAGGGGUGGAACACCCGCAGCUGCCCCCCCUCCAAGUUGAAAGGCGAAGUCUUAACCGCUGGACCACCAGGGAAGUCCCCCUGGGCAUCAUGUAUUGACCUUUAGGAGGAUGACGACAUGAGCAAUACCUGCUUGAAACUGUUGUGGGGCUCACAAGAGGAAAAGCACUCGGGACAGUAUCUGGCACCACUGGAGAAAUGGCAACGGAAGAAGCCACACCUGCCCGGAGACUCACAGUCUCAGAAACACCCCUACAGAGAACUUAGCUCCGUGCCGGUGCAGACCGCUUACCCAGGGAACCGAUUUUGGCGGCAGGCUGGACGGCUGGUUUUGUCAGGGGAAGCGCACUGAUUGAGACCGCGCACCCUGGCCCGGCACCACAGUAACCAUUUGCAGGCG
ensembl:lncRNA